AAUCGAACCCGGAGAUAGCUGGUUCUCCUCGAAAUAGCUUUAGGGCUAGCCUCAUUUUAGUCUUAUGGAGGUAGAGCACUGAAUUUCCGCGGGGGCGUCAAAGCUUACCAAAGAAUAUCAAACUCCGAAUGCCAUGUAGAUGAUGAAUGGGAGUCAGACUGCACGAGAUAAGUUGGGUGGUCAAAAGGGAAAGAGCCCAGACCUACAGCUAAGGUCCCAAAGUGCGUGUUAAGUGGAAAAGGAUGUGGGAUUUCAAAGACAACCAGGAUGUUGGCUCAGAAGCAGCCAUACAUUCAAAGAGUGCGUAACAGCUCACUGGUCGAGAGGUCCUGCGCCGAAAAUGUCCGGGGCUGAAACACGACACCGAAGCUUAGGAAUCACAUAGUGAUUGGUAGAGGAGCAUUCUUAAGACCGACGAAGCUGUACCGGAAGGAGCAGUGGAGGGAUAAGAAGAGAGAAUGCCGGAAUGAGUAGCGAGAGGAAGGUGGGAAUCCUUCCGGCCGAAUAUCUAAGGUUUCCAGAGUAAAGCUGAUCUGCUCUGGGUAAGUCGGGGCCUAAGGAGAGGUCGAAAGACGUAUCCGAUGGACAACAGGUUUAGAUUCCUGUACCACAUAUAAACAGAACUGUGGGGACGCAUGUGGAAAGCAUAAGCCGGGAAUGGAAAUACCGGUACAAGCGGAAGAGGUGUCAGGCUGGCAAAUCCGCCUGAUAAGCCAAAGACGUGAUGUGUAGCGAAAUAAAAGUAGCGAAGUGUGUGAGCCAUGUGCCGAGAAAAGCCGCUAUCGUUUUAUAUGUGCCCGUACCGUAAACCGACACAGGUGGAUGAGGAGAGAAUCCUAAGGCCGGCGGGAGAAGCAUUGUUAAGGAACUCGGCAAAAUGACCCCGUAACUUCGGGAGAAGGGGUGCCCACGGGAGUGGGCCGCAGAGAAUAGGCUCAAGCAACUGUUUAGCAAAAACACAGGUCUAUGCGAAACCGAAAGGUGAGGUAUAUGGGCUGACGCCUGCCCGGUGCUGGAAGGUUAAGAGGAGAGGUUAGCGCAAGCGAAGCUUUGAAUUUAAGCCCCAGUAAACGGCGGCCGUAACUAUAACGGUCCUAAGGUAGCGAAAUUCCUUGUCGGGUAAGUUCCGACCCGCACGAAAGGCGUAAUGAUUUGAGCGCUGUCUCGACAAUGCACCCGGUGAAAUUGAAGUACCAGUGAAGAUGCUGGUUACCUGCGCCAGGACGGAAAGACCCCAUGGAGCUUU
rnacentral:rRNA from 1 species